UCGACUCAUUGAAAUGUAUAACACAUUCUUACUUUUUAUUGUAAUAUUUCAUCUUUUUUGUUGUACAAUUUUCGAAUAAAUCGUUUUGUGACAACAAGAAAGAUGGAUAUUACUCACACAGAAUAUGAAUGAAGAGCUGGAUUAGUAUU
ensembl:ncRNA C44C10.14 ncRNA